rnacentral:rRNA from 1 species
CUGUUUAAUCCUGCCAUUAUUAUACCCUUGUCACAAAGGUUAACCCAUGCAUGUCUAAUUACAACCAACAUUAAUGUGAAACCCCAUAAGGCUCAUUAUAACACCUAUAAUUUACAAAAUCAUCCCCAAAUUUACUUGAAUAACUGUGAAAAAUCUAAACCUAAUACAUGCAAAAUGCCAGAACCUCCCGAAACUGGUGCACCUAUUAUUCAAACCAAUCACCCCCCCCUCGCGGGGCCGUGCUUUGAUUUAAAAUCUGAAUAAUGAUGCCAAUCGUAUGGUCUCCCACCAACAACAAAUCUUUCAAAUAUCUGCCCUAUCAACUAUUGAUGGUAUUAUAAAGAACUACCAUGGUUGCAACGGGUAACGGGAAAUCAGGGUUCAAUUCCGGAAAGGGACCCUGAAAAAUGGCUACCACAUCCAAGGAAGGCACCAGGCCCGUAAUUUACCCAAUCCCGGCACGGGGAGGUAGUGACAAAAAAUAACAAUAUAAAACUCUUUAAUGAUGUUUUAUAAUUGAAAUGAUUUAACCAUAAAUCCUUCACCAAGGAUCAAGUGAAGG